CAACCCCUAUUGAACAUGCAUUAGGCAAAGUGGCAUCAGUGUCACACAUUAUAGAAGUUGUAUACGGGCCUGGCUGCCUUGGGAGAUGCCAGGAUGAUGGCCACUGAUGAUACUGAGCCUGAUGAGGAGGAGGAUGACUAACACUUCAGCUCCUUUGGGAAGGGAUGGUUUUAUUUCUGCAACCUUCCAAUUUCAAGGAGGAAGAAUUCAGCGGCUUUCAACCAGCUCCCACUCUGCUUUCUGAAGGCAACAUAUGCCUCCCUAGCAUCUAACAAAUUUUAAUAAAGAACCCCUGCAAAGACCACCAGCUGGGAGAAGAGUGGAAUGACAAAAAAUCACCUUUUGGGGGGAAAAAAAUCUUUCUGCGCUAAUCUUUUCCUUGAGCUACAGUCUGGAUAAAGCAGAGAUUCAAAGGAGGAUUCCUGCAGUCACCAACAAAAAGAAGGGGGAUUUUGACUGUUACUACAUCACCUAAAGAAAAUAUCACAAAAAGCAAGAAUAACGGUACUGUUCUGGUUUUAAAAGAUGACAUUUCAAUUUUUUUUUAAGUUUCUCCACCCUGUUGCACAUAAGAGCCAACGAAGCAGGUUUUAGAUUCUGUUUAGUAUUAUUAACCAACGAUCAUUUCAGACUUAUAAAUCAGAUUUGUUAUUCACUAUCUAAGCCGCAACUAUUGGAAUUGUUUCCCUUUCGUUGCUGGAUCACAAACAUGACUGUUUUCAAAUUAGAAUAGAUGGGCUACAAGAAUACUGAAGCUGCAAUCCUGACUCCAAAUGCAAAUGACCCAAGAGCCCACAGUUGAUUCCAAAAAUGGAUUGUACCCAAAAGUUGUUCAUGAAGCUACUCCCACUUCAUUCUGUUUGGUGAAAUGAACAUUCUCCUUUGUGUUAGUGGGAAAGUUUAUUUUCCUUCACUGAAUUCUCUUGAGCCUCCUUGCUUUGCAAAAUAAACUCAGACCCGCCAGACAGCAGGAAACAGAAA